AGCGAACGCUGGCGGCAGGCUUAACACAUGCAAGUCGAGCGGGCGUAGCAAUACGUCAGCGGCAGACGGGUGAGUAACGCGUGGGAACGUACCUUUUGGUUCGGAACAACACCGGGAAACUUGUGCUAAUACCGGAUAAGCCCUUACGGGGAAAGAUUUAUCGCCGAAAGAUCGGCCCGCGUCUGAUUAGCUAGUUGGUGAGGUAACGGCUCACCAAGGCGACGAUCAGUAGCUGGUCUGAGAGGAUGAUCAGCCACAUUGGGACUGAGACACGGCCCAAACUCCUACGGGAGGCAGCAGUGGGGAAUAUUGGACAAUGGGGGCAACCCUGAUCCAGCCAUGCCGCGUGAGUGAUGAAGGCCCUAGGGUUGUAAAGCUCUUUUGUGCGGGAAGAUAAUGACGGUACCGCAAGAAUAAGCCCCGGCUAACUUCGUG
rnacentral:rRNA from 1 species